rnacentral:lncRNA from 1 species
CAAAUAGCCAGAACUGGCCAGAAGAUACCAACUUUUGUUUCCAACCUGAGCAAGUGGUCGAUCCUAUCCAGACUGAUCCCUUUAAGAUGUACCAUGAUGAUGACCUGGCAGAUUUGGUCUUUCCCUCCAGUGCGACAGCUGAUACUUCAAUAUUUGCAGGACAAAAUGAUCCCUUGAAAGACAGUUACGGAAUAGCCAGGCCAGAAGAAGGAAGGCCUGUGGUGAGUGGGACAGGAAAUGACAUCACCACCCCACCGAACAAGGAGCUCCCACCAAGCCCAGAGAAGAAAACAAAGGUAGGUGCCAGAAUGGUGGUUAUCUUCUACUGCCAUAAUUUUUAAACGGAGUAUCUUCUGCUGUUAUUGCUUGAAUCACGAAUGAAAUUU